UUUGAUCAUGGCUCAGAUUGAACGCUGGCGGGAUGUGCUUUGCACAUGCAAGUCGAACGGCAGCACGGACUUCCGGUCUGGUGGCAGUGGCCACGACCGGGUGAGUAAAUGUGUCGGAACGUGCCCUGAUAGCGGGGGAUAACUACGCGAAAGCGUAGCUAAUGCAUACGCCCUUCGGGGAAAACCGAGACCUUCGGGCCUCGCACUAUUAGAAGCGGCCGAUAUCGGAUUAGUUGGUGAGAUUGGCUCGCAAGGCGACGAUCCGUAGCUGGUUUUGAGAGGACGACCAGCCACACUGGGACUGAGACACGGCCCAGACUCUACGGGAGGCAGCAGUGGGGAAUUUUGGACAAUGGGGAAACCUGAUCAGCCAUCCCCGCGUGUGCGAUGAGGCCUUCAGGUUGUAAAGCACUUUGGCAGGAAAGAAUCGGCACGGGAUAUUACCCCGUGCAGCUGACGACACCUGCAGAAUAAAGCACCGGCUAACUACGUGCCAGCAGCCGCGGUAAUACGUAGGGCGCAAGCGUUAAUCAACUACUGGGCAUAAAGCGUGCGCAGGCGGUUCGGAAAGAAAGAUGUUGAAAUCAGAGCUUAACUUUGGAACUGCAUUUUUAACUACCGAGCUAGAGUGUGUCAGAGGAGGUGGAAUUCCGCGUGUAGCAGUGAGAGUAAGUAGAUAUGCGGAGGAGCACCGAUGGCGAGGCGGCCUCACCAGGAUAACACUGACGCUCAUGCACGAAAGCGUGGGGAGCAAACAGGAUUAGAUACCCUGGUAGUCCACGCCCCUAAACGAUGUCAACUAGCUGUUGGGGCCUUCGGGCCUUGGUAGCGCAGCUAACGGCAAUGGUCCGGUGACCGCCUAGAGUACGGUCGCAAGAUUAAAACUCAAAGGAAUUGACGGGGACCCGCACGAGCGGUGGAUGAUGUGGAUUAAUUCGAUGCAACACGAAAAACCUUACCUACCCUUGACAUGUCUGGAAUCCCAGAGAUUUGGGAGUGUCGCAAGAGAACCGGAACACAGGUGCUGCAUGGCUGUCGUCGCUCGUGUCGUGAGAUGUUGGGUUAGGUCCACCCAACGAGCGCAACCCUUGUCAUUGGUUGCUACGAAAGGGCACUCUAAUGAGACUGCCGGUGUUAAGCAAGGAGGAAGGUGGGGAUGACGUCGAGUCCUCCUUGGCCCUUAUGGGUAGGGCUUCACACGUCAUACAAUGGUCGGGACAGAGGGUCGCCAGCCGCGAGGGGCCAAUCCCAGAAGCCCGAUCGUAGUCCGGAUCAUGAUCUGCAAUAUUGCGUGAAGUCAGAAUCGCUAGUAAUCGCGGAUCAGCAUGUCGCGGUGAAUACGUUCAGGUCUUGUAUACACACCGCCCGUCACACCAUGGAGUGGGUUUUACCAGAAGUAGUUAGCCUAACCGUAAGGAGGGCGAUUACCACAUUAGGAUUCAUGACUG
rnacentral:rRNA from 1 species